UCUACGGGAGGCAGCAGUAGGGAAUCUUCCGCAAUGGGCGCAAGCCUGACGGAGCAACACCGCGUGAGUGAUGAAGGGCUUCGGCUUGUAAAGCUCUGUUGUUAGGGAAGAACAUACGUGAGAGUAACUAUGCACGCACUGACGGUAUCUAAUCAGCAAGUCACGGCUAACUACGUGCCAGCAGCCGCGGUAAUGGGUAGGUGGCAAGCAUUAUCCGGAUUUAUUGGGCGUAAAGCGCGCGUAGGCGGUUGCUUAGGUCUGAUGUGAAAGCCCUCGGCUUAACCGGGGGCGUGCAUCGGAAACCGGGCGACUUGAGUGCAGUAGAGGAUAGUGGAAGUCCAUGUGUAGCGGUGGAAUGCGUAGAUAUAUGGAGGAACACCAGUGGCGAAGGCGGCUGUCUGGACUGCAACUGACGCUGAGGCGCGAAAGCGUGGGGAGCAAACAGGAUUAGAUACCCUGGUAGUC
rnacentral:rRNA from 1 species